rnacentral:lncRNA from 1 species
AACUCGCAGCUCUCCUGGAAGUGAAUCACGAGCUUUCCUGGGUGGAGGUAGCUGGAAGAGGCACCGAACCCCACCGAUAAGACCACAGGGCAGGGCAGGGGCACCAGAAAAGACCCUCCCCGCUCUCUUGGAUGUAAGGCCGGGCCAGGUUUUGGUUGAAGGUCACAUUGCUCCUGGGUCAGAGAACUAUAACAUCAAAGCGCCUUUAUGGCACACAGCCAUGUGAAGACACAGCAAGAAGGCAGCUGUCUACAAGCCAGGGAGAGAGGCCUCACCCUAAACCACCCCUGCCAGCAUUUUCAUCUUGGACUUCAAGCCUCCAGAACUGUGUCUUCUAGAGAAACCCAAGCUAAGACAGAGACUAAAGGACAAGGAAUAUGACCAAGGUCACACUGCUGUUCAAUGCCAAAGCUGGGUCUAUGUGCUGACUCCUGACUCCUUCUGCCAACAGCUCAUUCUACUGCCCAGCACAGAGAACUUUCAUGAAUUCAUCUCUGCAUUCCAGUGGGGACAUUUAUCACCCGGUGCCCAGGCUGCAGACAUCUCCCUCCUUAAGAUCCUCCUGCCCAGAAAGGCAGCCUUGUCAAAGACAUGAAACCAUCCCCUCUGGACAUCUGGACAAGGCGCAGCCCUUUGGCCAAGCACGAGGCCGUCCCGAAUGCCUCAGACA